CAGUAGCCGCGGGAAUACGGAGGGUGCAAGCGUUGUCCGGAUUUAUUGGGUUUAAAGGGUGCGUAGGCGGCCUAAUAAGUCAGUGGUGAAAGCCUCCAGCUUAACUGGAGAACUGCCACUGAUACUGUUAGGCUUGAGUAUACUUGAGGUAGGCGGAAUUGACAGUGUAGCGGUGAAAUGCAUAGAUAUUGUCAAGAACACUAAUUGCGAAGGCAGCUUACUAAAUUAUAACUGACGCUGAGGCACGAAAGUGUGGGUAUCAAACAGGAUUAGAUACCCCCGUAGUCCCUGUCUCUUAUAC
rnacentral:rRNA from 1 species